rnacentral:rRNA from 1 species
GAUGAACGCUGGCGGCGCGCCUAACACAUGCAAGUCGAACGGUUAAAGCAUCUUCGGAUGUGCAUAAAGUGGCGAACGGCUGAGUAACACGUGGGCAACCUGCCCCUCGCAUCGGGACAGCCUCGGGAAACCGUGGUUAAUACCGGAUACUCCGCCACCCCCGCAUGGGGGAGGCGGGAAAGCCCAGACGGCGAGGGAUGGGCCCGCGGCCUGUUAGCUUGUUGGUGGGGCAGUGGCCCACCAAGGCGAUGAUGGGUAGCCGGGUUGAGAGACCGACCGGCCAGAUUGGGACUGAGACACGGCCCAGACUCCUACGGGAGGCAGCAGUGGGGAAUCUUGCACAAUGGGCGAAAGCCUGAUGCAGCGACGCCGCGUGCGGGACGAAGGCCUUCGGGUCGUAAACCGCUUUCAGCAGGGACGAGGCCG